rnacentral:rRNA from 1 species
GAUGAACGCUGGCGGCGUGCCUAAUACAUGCAAGUCGAGCGAACAGAUGAGGAGCUUGCUCCUCUGACGUUAGCGGCGGACGGGUGAGUAACACGUGGAUAACCUACCUAUAAGACUGGGAUAACUUCGGGAAACCGGAGCUAAUACCGGAUAAUAUAUUGAACCGCAUGGUUCAAUAGUGAAAGACGGUUUUGCUGUCACUUAUAGAUGGAUCCGCGCCGCAUUAGCUAGUUGGUAAGGUAACGGCUUACCAAGGCAACGAUGCGUAGCCGACCUGAGAGGGUGAUCGGCCACACUGGAACUGAGACACGGUCCAGACUCCUACGGGAGGCAGCAAUAGGGAAUCUUCCGCAAUGGGCGAAAGCCUGACGGAGCAACGCCGCGUGAGUGAUGAAGUUCUUCGGAUCGUAAAACUCUGUUAUUAGGGAAGAACAAAUGUGUAAGUAACUAUGCACGUCUUGACGGUACCUAAUCAGAAAGCCACGGCUAACUACGUG